GACGAACGCUGGCGGCGUGCCUAAUACAUGCAAGUUGAGCGCUGAAGGUUGGUACUUGUACCAACUGGAUGAGCAGCGAACGGGUGAGUAACGCGUGGGGAAUCUGCCUUUGAGCGGGGGACAACAUUUGGAAACGAAUGCUAAUACCGCAUAAAAACUUUAAACACAAGUUUUAAGUUUGAAAGAUGCAAUUGCAUCACUCAAAGAUGAUCCCGCGUUGUAUUAGCUAGUUGGUGAGGUAAAGGCUCACCAAGGCGAUGAUACAUAGCCGACCUGAGAGGGGGAUCGGCCACAUUGGGACUGAGACACGGCCCAAACUCCUACGGGAGGCAGCAGUAGGGAAUCGUCGGCAAUGGACGAAAGUCUGACCGAGCAACGCCGCGGGAGUGAAGAAGGUUUUCGGAUCGUAAAACUCUGUUGGUAGAGAAGAACGUUGGUGAGAGUGGAAAGCUCAUCAAGUGACGGUAACUACCCAGAAAGGGACGGCUAACUACGUG
rnacentral:rRNA from 1 species